rnacentral:rRNA from 1 species
UACGAAGGGGGCUAGCGUUGUUCGGAAUCACUGGGCGUAAAGCGCACGUAGGCGGAUUUUUAAGUCAGGGGUGAAAUCCCGGGGCUCAACCUCGGAACUGCCUUUGAUACUGGGGAUCUCGGGUCCGGAAGAGGUGAGUGGAACUGCGAGUGUAGAGGUGAAAUUCGUAGAUAUUCGCAAGAACACCAGUGGCGAAGGCGGCUCACUGGUCCGGUACUGACGCUGAGGUGCGAAAGCGUGGGGAGCAAACAGG